GCUCACUCUUAGACACAACAGCUCUCUGUCUCGGGUUCACGGUCUUUUCCGUAAACGUUUCUUCAGCUUCAGUCAUCCAAGGAAGCACUGCUGAUGGCAUCCUCCAGAAGAUCAUGACAGGGCAGCAGACAGACCAGGUGACCUAUUUGACCACUGGCAAAUCAGGAUGUGGAGUGGAAUGUAAUCGUUGGCGGUUUGAGGUAACUACUGGCUCUACCUGUUGAUUAGUUUGAAUGCUGGCAUGGCCACACUCAAAAAAAUGUUUCUGAAUGUAAUCAAGUAACCUUUAUGUGAUUAGAUGCCAUUAGGCUGCUGUGUGUGUUACACAGUUACACAUUUCAGCACCAUAGGUGGCGGUAGUGUGCCUUACUGGUUGCCACCCACCCAAACGGAGUAGAAGAAGACUGA